rnacentral:rRNA from 1 species
UACGGAGGGGGCUAGCGUUGUUCGGAAUUACUGGGCGUAAAGCGCACGUAGGCGGCUUUGUAAGUUAGAGGUGAAAGCCCAGGGCUCAACCCUGGAAUUGCCUUUAAGACUGCAUCGCUUGAACAUCGGAGAGGUAAGUGGAAUUCCGAGUGUAGAGGUGAAAUUCGUAGAUAUUCGGAAGAACACCAGUGGCGAAGGCGGCUCACUGGCCCGAUACUGACGCUGAGGCACGAAAGCGUGGGGAGCAAACAGG